AAUUCGAUUAGUUUGAUCCUGGCUCAGAUUGAACGCUGGCGGCAUGCCUAACACAUGCAAGUCGAACGGCAGCACAGCUUAAGCUUGCUUAAGUGGGUGGCGAGUGGCGGACGGGUGAGUAAUGCAUCGGGACCUACCUGAACGUGGGGGAUAACGUAGGGAAACUUACGCUAAUACCGCAUACGUCCUACGGGAGAAAGCGGGGGACCUUCGGGCCUCGCGCGGUCAGACGGACCGAUGUUCGAUUAGCUAGUUGGUAAGGUAAUGGCUUACCAAGGCGACGAUCGAUAGCUGGUCUGAGAGGAUGUUCAGCCACACUGGAACUGAGACACGGUCCAGACUCCUACGGGAGGCAGCAGUGGGGAAUAUUGGACAAUGGGCGCAAGCCUGAUCCAGCAA
rnacentral:rRNA from 1 species